rnacentral:misc_RNA from 1 species
CUUUGAUUUACAAGAGAUGUGAAAUAAUUUAUUUUAGUAAAAAUAUUGUGUAAACAUCCAUUUGUAUUGUUCAAAGCAUACAAUGAAAAAUGCAAUUGUUGUGGGCAGAGCAAAUUGAGAUAAUGAAGCAGAAAACAGAGGGCGACAUUCUAACAUUGGAAGACACCAGGAAGAUGAAAUAUACUUGGCAAGUGGCACGUGAAAGCAUGAGGCUUUUCCCUCCCAUCUUUGGCUCCUUCAGAAAAGCAAUUGUCGACAUUGAAUUUGAAGGAUUCAUUAUUCCUAGAGGAUGGAAG